CCUACGGGGGGCAGCAGUGGGGAAUAUUGCACAAUGGGGGAAACCCUGAUGCAGCAACGCCGCGUGAGUGAAGAAGUAUUUCGGAAUGUAAAGCUCUAUCAGCAGGGAAGAAGGAAGACGGUACCUGACAAAGAAGCACCGGCUAACUACGUGACAGCAGCCGCGGUAAUACGUAGGGGGCAAGCGUUAACCGGAUCCACUGGGUGUAAAGGGAGCGUAGACGGCCAGGCAAGCCUGGAGUGAAAGCCCGGGGCCCAACCCCGGGACUGCUCGGGGAACCGGCCGGCUGGAGUGCGGGAGGGGCAGGCGGAAUUCCUGGUGUAGCGGUGAAAUGCGUAGAUAUCAGGAGGAACACCGGCGGCGAAGGCGGCCUGCUGGACCGCGACUGACGUUGAGGCUCGAAAGCGUGGGUAGCGAACAGGAUUAGAUACCCGAGUAGUC
rnacentral:rRNA from 1 species